GUGCACCAGAUACGAGCUUGACAGUCUGUCGUGUCCCAUAUGAGGGGUUACUCUGUGGCUGCUCAGCUUCAAACGGUGCUAGAGCAACAUCAGCCAUGAGAUUUAAGCCCCUCAGUGAAAGCAACAUCGAGGAGUUAUAACUCAGAGGCACAGAU
rnacentral:snoRNA from 1 species